rnacentral:antisense_RNA from 1 species
GUCAGUCCUCCUAGCAGCCUGAUUAGUAGGAGUUGUUACAGAAACACAGAUGAAACCAUGGGUUAGAAAGAGGUUGAGAGUGCUAGAGAAUCUUAUGGCUGCAAAAUGGGUAAGCAGAGACUUCAACCACUGUCUUCUGACUCACAGCCCAAGGGAAAGACCAGGCAAGAGUAGGGGUGAAGAAAUCUCAUGUAGAAGCCCAGAACUUUCAAGAGAUAAGAAGUAGGGAGAUUCUGGUUUAAAGAGAGAUGACGGAAGCCCCGAAUGUCCUGUCUUCUGCUCCCCCAGAUACCUUCAUGGACUACAGAGCUGUACAUACGACUAUUGAAGUUUAUAACUAAAAAUAAACCAAUAGGAAACCUAGCCAUGGCAUAGUGGCUACAUGCAUGGGAUGUGAAGCCACAAUUCCUGAGUUUGAAUCCCAGCUCUGCCUCAUCUUAAAAGUGUGAUCAUAGAGAGUGUGCCAACAUCAUUCUAAAUGAUUGGGAUACAUGAGUGGGAGUGAAUGAAGUGGGCAAUGGCAGCAUUUUAGAAAAGGACUAAG